GAUGAACGCUAGCGGGAGGCUUAACACAUGCAAGUCGAGGGGCAGCAUAGGGCAGCAAUACUCUGAUGGCGACCGGCAAACGGGUGAGUAACGCGUAUGCAACCUACCCUGUACAGGGGGAUAACCCGGAGAAAUUCGGACUAAUAUCCCGUAAUAAUAUCCGGAGGCAUCUUUGGAUAUUUAAAGUUCCGACGGUACGGGAUGGGCAUGCGUAACAUUAGCUGGUUGGUAAGGUAACGGCUUACCAAGGCUAUGAUGUUUAGGGGUCCUGAGAGGGUGGUCCCCCACACUGGUACUGAGACACGGACCAGACUCCUACGGGAGGCAGCAGUCGAGGAAUAUUGGUCAAUGGGCGCAAGCCUGAACCAGCCAUCCCGCGUGCAGGAAGACGGCCCUAUGGGUUGUAAACUGCUUUUCCAGGGAGAGAACUUACGCACGUGUUGCGUGACUGACGGUACCCUGGGAAUAAGCAUCGGCUAACUCCGUG
rnacentral:rRNA from 1 species